rnacentral:tRNA from 2 species
GCGCAUGUGGCGUAAUUGGCAGCCGCGCCAGACUUAGGAUCUGGUGCCGCAAGGCGUGGGGGUUCGAGUCCCUCCAUGCGCA